rnacentral:misc_RNA from 1 species
UACGGAGGGUGCAAGCGUUAAUCGGAAUUACUGGGCGUAAAGGGCGCGUAGGCGGCCUGUUAAGUGCGAUGUGAAAUCCCCGGGCUCACCCCGGGAAGUGCGUCGCAUACUGGCAGGCUCGAGUACCGGAGAGGAGGGUGGAAUUCCUGGUGUAGCGGUGAAAUGCGUAGAUAUCAGGAGGAACACCGGUGGCGAAGGCGGCCCUCUGGACGGAUACUGACGCUGAGGCGCGAAAGCGUGGGGAUCAAACAGG